GCUAAUGCAGCUUUGCUUGAAAAUCUGGUCUAUUCCCUAGUUCACCUUUGCCGUCUUUAUAUGCCAUUUUGCUUAGCUGAUUAACAAAUCUAUGGAAAUGUAGAUAAUUGCUUUUACACUUGAAAUAAUCGCUGGCUCAUUUCUUAUACGUGAUAAACGUAAAACGAGUUUUAACUUGUUAGCCACCCAAAGAAACUUUCAUUUAAAAUCCCCGACUAAGAUAUCAGCACUGGCGAAGGUUGGUCAGCACAGUACAACCAGCUUUAAAAGAAAAAACAGAUUUGUUUGAGGUUUCAAGAUUGUCAUCGAUGAAGCAAACACCCUGAAUCCUGGUGCUUCAGGUGGAUAAAUUUGUUGUCAUACUUUCAAAACAGUUGUACUGGUCGGAACUGCAGGAGAAGCUUGUUAAGGAUACCAAAGAAAAAGUAGGAAUGGUCUGACAACAAGGGAAAUCAAAGGAACUUCUUACAGAAAAGAAAAUGGCAAUUUGUCGCGUGGUAAUAAAACUUCAUGAAACAAUUUCAAGAAUGACAUUUGCCAGAAGUAAUCGGGAAAACUCAAAUCUCAGUGGAGCUUGAAUCCUUUACCAAAAGUGCGCUAAUUGAAUUGUCCAAGUUUUCAAAAUUGUUUCCCCAUCUUUCAUAUUCUUUUGGAGAAGGUAAAAAUUUAUAGGAAAACUUAAAAGAAGGAAAAAGUUUCAAAUGCUUCAAGCCUAAUCUUUUUGGUGAUUCAUCACAUUCACUACUGACUAUUCGUGGGCACGACCGCUGAAUACGCGACAAGUUUGUAUGACAGGUGCAACUAAACCAUUAAUAAUACCUUAAAAAAUAUUUUGGGUACAUCACCAAUAAUUUUUUUUUCUUUGGCGUGCUCAAUUACUUCAGCUCUUUCUUUUCCAAGAUAUCAAUAGAAAUCUUCGUAAGUAUCCUCCAUGCAAUUUUUAAGAAGUUACUUCAAAGAAUUUAUUGGUGCAAAAUAACACGAUAUCUCUUAGCUGAUAUAAUUUUCUCAUCGACUAACCGUCUGGCAUUGUUAUGGCUAUUGUAGACAGAAAUUGCGAGGGUCGGUUCAUAGCGAUAGCUCAUUGCUUUUCCUUCGUUUAUAUUUUUUGUGUGUGUUACCUUAGCCGUUCAAAACUGCAAAAUUGCGGCUUCUUUCUGACAAAAACGAUUAACUCCGGAAGAGAAUAAGCAGAAGGUAAAAAUUGCAUCUUCAGGAUCUUUUCAAAGAAUGGACAACUUAAAUGAAUAGCUGAAAAUUAAUAGCUUCUUUCAUAAAACGGACAAAUAGUGUUUUCAAAGAGCAAGGCUUAAUUAUAAAAAUUGUUAUUCCCAACGUUACUGCGGCAUAUGUUUCACAACUUUGCGAUUAAUACUGAAAAUAUUUGGAAAACGUAUAUCAAAACGACCUUGGCAUUUGUUUAUCUAAGUAGACCCCCCUUUCCCGUUUUAAGGGAUGUUUUUAGAACAGUCACUACCUUCGUCGACCAGUUAUUGACUAGACUAAGUGCACUCUCAAUUUCUGCCUGAUAGGAAUAAGAAAUACUCAGUUUUGUGUGACAUGGCCAUAGAAAUGAACUCUCAAAGAAAACCGCAACAACUCAAAACCGAAGAGGUUGCACUUACUAAAUGAUAAUACUAGUAGUCUGACUCGCCAUGCAAGCUCGCCUCAUUAUUUGCGAAGUAUUUAGUUUUCCUUCUAACGGCGCCGAGCGUCUAAAAAACAUGGACAGCAACCCGUUUCCCUCGGUAGUAUUUAUCACGUUCUAGCACACUAAAAAUUCAUUAAUUUUGUGAAUGGCAAGCUGCCAUAUUUUCGAAAAAUUGAUUGAUUUGUUUUUAGCUAAAAAGAUAAUUUUGAACUCUUGCACCUGAUUGGGUGAAAAUAACAUGAAUUUCAUUAAGGACAAAACUUUGUUUUUUCAUUUUACAGCGAAUUCGUCACUCACCAAUGAAAAGUGUACUUUAGCAUCUGAUAUCGCGCAUAUUUCUUAUAUCAAAUGACACGAAUUUGCUUAUUACGAUAACGACUGACUGAAAGAUUUGCCAACUGUUGUAAACAAACAUACGGGGUAUGGAAAUUUAUUAGUAUUCCAACCACGCUUUUUUUUUCCGCUAUGAUGACUGAAAACUACGAUAAGAAAAGAUAAACGGAACCUUAUGAAUGAAGGAUUAAAUAUUUGCUGCAAGACGGUCUCGAAGGACUUCCAGAAAAAUAAAUUCAGUCAUUUGCUUUUUUUUUGAGGUACAUGCUUUCAUGCAAAUCAUUAUUAGUGCAUAAUUCUUUGUACCUUACUCUGAAGUAAAGAGUAAAAAUGAUGUGACAUACGUGCAACAAUUUCCAGUCGUCGUGGCACACGAAAUGAUUUGUAAAUUCUGGAGAAUACUAUGAUUGACAGAUUCUGAAUUUCGGCAGAAAAGUGCGGCCGUUACGCAUUUGAGGAAAUUUUUCAAACAAAGUUGGAUAAACAAAAGCGAUUGGACAAGGGGAAAGGGAAGCUUUUAUUAGGGAUCGAGCUCAUAAUAAGACAAAAUAAUUUUUUUCCUCAGUUUUUUAUGUCAAACAUAGAAUAUGGAAAUUUCAAUUUUCAAAACACAAGACGACAUCGUGGACAGAAACUUCAUGAAGAGAAUUUAUCAUCUGUAGCUUAUUGAUGUAUGAACCUUAUCCUACCGGCUUUGUGAGGGCCCUUCGCUUAGUAAGCAGUAAGUUAUAUUGGUGGAACUUGCUGCUUUUAAAUUUGAGGUUUGUUUGCUAUAAAUAUUGGUGACCAAUGAAAAUGUUUCUGAUUUCAUUUCCAGUUUCAAGAAAUAAAGUUAAACGUUGACGAGAUAAAUUUUUUUUUCAACUCACCGUGUUUCCUUGGAUGUUUUUGACUCGUAUGAAUCUACGCCGGAGAGAAGGUUCUCGUAGAGUGUGCUUCACGAUGACAAAUGAACCUUGGAACUGCGGAAGGUUGAUCCGUGUCAAACACUAAAAUUUCCGCAAAUGAUAAUGUGGUCACGUUCCUCCCAAUAAAGCUUGCAUGAGUGGCGUGCUAAUUUUCCCGCCAAAAGUUAUGACGGGAACAAUCGUCACCACGGAAACAAAAGUCUAGGCUAAGUGUGCUUUCUUGAGUGGGGAUUUACGUUUAAACACUGCGGUUAUUUGAGAACCGCAUUUUCGAGGGAUCGUUUGGGCUGCAUCGCGUUUUCAUUUUCUCGAGUAAAGUCAACCUUGGGGUCUCCAAAUAACAGCUUUUGCUAAUUAUGUGUAAAAUACAAGUACGCAAACUCCUUAAAAGAGAAGUAAUUUUGUUCAUUUUUCCCCGAGUGUCGUAGUAUCGACCGUAACUCUAAAAUUUUGAUAAAAAAGACUAUAAACUCGCUGGAACCAUAAAACAGUAUUAAUUACUGUUUUCGUUUUCGAGACUGACCAACGAUGUGUACAUCGUGUUACCAUUUUAAUUUUGCCUCGAUGAUCGGAGGGCGACACUGCAACCAAGAACGGUUGUAUUCAAUUCUGGGUCCAUUGACUGAUCGAUUCGAUGACUUGGUGAUUAGUUAAAUUAGAGCCUGGUCUUGUGGAAUCGUAACCUUAAAAAAAAAGGAAACCAAAGUUGAGAGAUGGCUGAAUGAUGUUGAUGUGUUUCAUUAAGUUAUUUCUAGUCUCAGUACUUUACUCUUCCGAAGCAAACGACAGCAUUUCCAGAUAUGAAUAUUCAACGUUUCAAUGAUGAGUCUCUUACAGUAACUGAAGCAGAUUUCUAACAACGGGCGUUUUCUAACUGAUAAAUCAGAAAUAUAUAUCUAGCAACAUAUUCAUAAUUAAAUUUUAAAGUCACUGCUUCAAAUAUU